AUUGAACGCUGGCGGCAGGCCUAACACAUGCAAGUCGAGCGGAUGAAGGGAGCUUGCUCCUGGAUUCAGCGGCGGACGGGUGAGUAAUGCCUAGGAAUCUGCCUGGUAGUGGGGGAUAACGUCCGGAAACGGGCGCUAAUACCGCAUACGUCCUGAGGGAGAAAGUGGGGGAUCUUCGGACCUCACGCUAUCAGAUGAGCCUAGGUCGGAUUAGCUAGUUGGUGGGGUAAGGGCCUACCAAGGCGACGAUCCGUAACUGGUCUGAGAGGAUGAUCAGUCACACUGGAACUGAGACACGGUCCCGACUCCUACGGGAGGCAGCAGUGGGGAAUAUUGGACAAUGGGCGGAAGCCUGAUCCAGCCAUGCCGCGUGUGUGAAGAAGGUCUUCGGAUUGUAAAGCACUUUAAGUUGGGAGGAAGGGCAGUAAGUUAAUACCUUGCUGUUUCGACGUUACCAACAGAAUAAGCACCGGCUAACUUCGUG
rnacentral:rRNA from 1 species